GGCGUUGGUUGUCCAGGUGAAAGGAUGUAGGCAUGUAUCUUAGGCAAAUCCGGGGUACUCUAUGCUGAGAUCUGAUAGCAAGCUGUACUUGUACAGCGAAGUGGUUGAUGCCAUGCUUCCAGGAAAAGUCUCUAAGCUUCAGUUACACAGGAAUCGUACCCGAAACCGACACAGGUGGUCAGGUCGAGUAGACCAAGGCGCUUGAGAGAACUCUGCUGAAGGAACUAGGCAAAAUGGUACCGUAACUUCGGGAGAAGGUACGCUGUUGUUGGUGAUGGAACUCGCUUCCUGAGCUGACGACAGCCGCAGAAACCAGGCCGCUGCAACUGUUUAUUAAAAACAUAGCACUCUGCAAACACGAAAGUGGACGUAUAGGGUGUGAUGCCUGCCCGGUGCUGGAAGGUUAAUUGAUGGGGUUAGCGUAAGCGAAGCUCUUGAUCGAAGCCCCAGUAAACGGCGGCCGUAACUAUAACGGUCCUAAGGUAGCGAAAUUCCUUGUCGGGUAAGUUCCGACCUGCACGAAUGGCAUAAUGAUGGCGGCGCUGUCUCCAGCAGAGGCUCAGUGAAAUCGAAAUCGCUGUGAAGAUGCAGUGUACCCGCGGCUAGACGGAAAGACCCCGUGAACCUUUACUGCAGCUUGACACUGAACUUUGACCUUACUUGUGUAGGAUAGGUGGGAGGCUUUGAAGCUGGAACGCUAGUUCCAGUGGAGCCGUCCUUGAAAUACCACCCUGGUAAUGUUGAGGUUCUAACUCUGUCCCGUGAUCCGGGACGAGGACCGUGUCUGGUGGGUAGUUUGACUGGGGCGGUCUCCUCCUAAAGAGUAACGGAGGAGUACGAAGGUGCGCUCAGCGUGGUCGGAAAUCACGCGUAGAGUAUAAAGGCAAAAGCGCGCUUAACUGCGAGACCCACAAGUCGAGCAGGUACGAAAGUAGGUCUUAGUGAUCCGGUGGUUCUGUAUGGAAGGGCCAUCGCUCAACGGAUAAAAGGUACUCUGGGGAUAACAGGCUGAUACCGCCCAAGAGUUCAUAUCGACGGCGGUGUUUGGCACCUCGAUGUCGGCUCAUCUCAUCCUGGGGCUGAAGCAGGUCCCAAGGGUAUGGCUGUUCGCCAUUUAAAGAGGUACGCGAGCUGGGUUUAGAACGUCGUGAGACAGUUCGGUCCCUAUCUACCGUGGGCGCUGGAAAUUUGAGAGGAUCUGCUCCUAGUACGAGAGGACCAGAGUGGACGAACCUCUGGUGUACCGGUUGUGACGCCAGUCGCAUCGCCGGGUAGCUAUGUUCGGAAGGGAUAACCGCUGAAAGCAUCUAAGCGGGAAGCCUACCUCAAGAUAAGAUUUCCCUAGGACUUUAUGUCCUCUAAAGAGCCGUUCGAGACUAGGACGUUGAUAGGUUGGAUGUGGAAGCAUAGUGAUAUGUGAAGCUGACCAAUACUAAUUGCUCGUGAGGCUUGACUAU
rnacentral:rRNA from 1 species